CUUCCUUCGUCAGAUUCGUCAUUUUCGUCUUGGAUUUUUGUGGGUCGUCUGAUCUUCUCCUUUCUCCUUUCCCCUUCCUCCCGCCAAACCCGAUUCCCAGUUUCGCUUACCUUCUCCACAUAGGUUUGUACCGUUUAGAGAGAUGUCGAAUUCAUGGACCAGUCCACCUGGGGGAGGGAGCCAUGAGAGCGGUGGAGGGAACGAGCAUAGCCCGCAUUCAGGGGCUACUAGGGAGCAGGAUCGGUAUCUUCCUAUAGCGAACAUUAGCCGGAUUAUGAAGAAAGCCUUGCCUGCAAACAGCAAGAUCGCUAAGGAAGCUAAGGACACGGUUCAGGAAUGUGUUUCUGAGUUCAUCAGUUUUGUCACAACCGAAGCUUUGCUUUGCAGGGCUAGUGAUAAAUGCCAGAAAGAGAAGCGGAAGACGAUUAAUGGGGAUGAUCUAUUGUGGGCAAUAGCAACAUUGGGAUUCGAGAACUAUAUCGAGCCUCUGAGGAUAUACUUGACUCGAUACAGAGAGUUGGAGAGUGAGACAAAAGUAUCCACAACAAGAGGUGGGGAUGGAACUAGAAGUGAUGCAACCGGGUUUCCUCUCGUCCCAAAUGCUCAAAUGACUCAGUUUCCCCUUCAAGGAUCUGUGAACUAUGCAAACCACCAACUAUUUGGCUGACUGGAUCGACAACUUGUUUAUACAUUGUGACACGGUACUGAAACCGUUUUGUCUUGUAUUCGGCUGAAUUCACAAGAUCCACGCAUAAUACCGGGAAAAUCGUGUUGCCCCUUCAGUGUCCUUUCGAUAUGUUCUCUUGCCCCGGAUCAGCACUUUGAUGCUCUAAACAUGGAACUUACUGAUUUUUGUUUGGAUUUGAAAGGGGACAGGGACACAGUUUGGUGUUCCAAUCCAUGCAAGAACAUGGGAACGAAGAAAGGCAGUUUUAGCUUUUGAUGGCAAAUGAAAUGAAAUCCACUUUUGCAAGGGGGAAGUUAUUUAUAUGCUUUUAUAUGUAAAUAUAUAUAUAUAUAUAUAUAUAUUAUAUACACAUGCAGGAUCAUAUUUUUGCUAUUAGCUAUGAAGAAUAGAUACAGUAUCUGUCAUUUAUUAUUUGCAUGAUUGAAAGCACCUAUUUUAUGUUUUGCCAAAGAAAAAACCGUCUAUGUUAUGUUGUUAU